rnacentral:misc_RNA from 1 species
CAGGAACAGCACCCCAUCAACGACAGCAGCACGUGACACGUGGCACGGACGUCAUCAGGGUCGGUACGCUUGUUUGCCUCCUGCCCUUUCUGCCCGUUUCGGAGCGACUCUCCUCUCUGUUUCUUUGCGCCUUUCGCUCUUCUUGGAGGAGGAGGGCCGGGGAAGUGAAGGAGGGCGGGCGCCAGCAACAGCAUCCACAACACGCGCACGCGCAGAUUCACAGACACUCGCGCACACAGAGACGGACAGGCAUCGCUGUCCAUCCUAUAGAGGUAAGUGGUGUUGCGCAGCGCACCACAUUACCAUCCACCCUUACACAGCGACAAGGCGAGACAGCAUCACCAGGAGGAGGCGCUGCGUUUUCGGGCAGCCCCGGUGGCUGCUGCCUCCUUUGUUUCUCUGGUCGCUGAGACCUGGUCCUUUCCGUUCGCUCCACGCCACCCGCCUCUCUCCCUCUCUCUCUGAUAAGCUUAAGAAAACAAGUAAAAAGUAGGACGUCGACACGGACGUACCUCGCGUAAUAGCUGCCACUUGCAUACACUGACACGGACGGAAGAAGCGCUGGCUGUGCUCCAGGACGGAGCAGAGUGCAGUCGCUGCCUUGCUUUCACCGUCGAUUCGUGUACUCUGUCUUCUCUGCGCCACCUUUCUCCCAGUAGAAGACUCCUAUAGCCACAGCGGCUGGACACUUUCCCUGGCCGCUCAAGCGUAUCUGUCGUCCCGUGUGCGCGACAGCACCGCUUGGCCGCGUGCUUGCCGCUGCUGAGUGUCGCACGUACGCAGAGAGACACAGCGCACCUUCGUCUCUUUCCUUUUCGAUCCGUGCCCCCUUUAGUCCCCCUCGCCUCCCCCGUGUGCCACAUGCGGCCAUCGUCGACGUGCACAGCUGCGAGUGGCACCGGACAUGGGCUGGCGCAUGCGGAGGCGGUAGAUGGCUCGACUCGGCUGCCAAGCCCGGCAGGCGUAGCGGCUUCCGCCUCUCCGCUGACCGUGACCUGCUGGCCGUGCGCAUCUUUCCCAGGGCGCGGCGGUGGCAACCCGCUCCGUGCGUUUCGCACAGAGUCGCCUGGGACGACCGUUGCGGUCGUUACCGAACAGCGCACUGCGCCCCAUCGCAUGGCGCCCAUCAGGCUUUCUUGUUAUUCCCGUACAUUGCCGAAAAGCGACCUACUGCCGUCAUUCCUGUCGCCACGUGUGGCGGCUGCGCCACCCUUCUCGCUGCGCACUCCUCUUUCAAAAGCGCUGCUGUGCUCGCUGUUGACGUCUUCAGCUGCUGCUACGCGGAUGCUCGCCUCGACAGGCGCACGACGGCAUCCCGUGCGGGUCACAGCGAGCAGGCAGCAGCACGCCGCCGUCCAAGGCGUAACGGUGCUGCGCCACUCCCACAAUAGGCAAGUCCGACGUUUGCUUGAGGCUGUCGUCGCGGUUGACGGGGGAGGCAGGCCACCGGGGCUACGGCUCGGCGUAGCUGUACGUGCGCUUGCCACAGCUACGACGCCGUCCACCUCCACAGACACGGAUGCGCCGCCGGCCUCCCCGGAGUCGUUCCUUGACCUCAAUGAGGCACCUGUGCAUCCGGUGCUCAGCAGCAGCAGCUCCGUGAGCAGUGGUGACGCAAGCGCUCCAGCGCGGAGAGAAAGUUCGCAUCGAUUUACCGCCAAGCAGCGGCGCCAGCAACAGCCGCAGCAAGAACAGUCGUCUCGGGGCAGGAAUAGGCAGCGCAAGGAAAGGCGAAGCGGCUCGCAGGGCUCUUUGCACCAAAACGAGCACGGCGCGACCACCCUCAGAGGGAGGUCGCGUCACGGAGAGCUUCCACCGCAGCAGCAGCCAGGCCCUUUACCACACAAGCAGAUGCGCCACGUGCACUCGUCUGGCCACCAUGGGGGCACCACCUCUUCAGCGGCGCCGCCCUCGGCCGGUGGUGCUUCUGCCCACGGUCGACGAGGCUCUUCUCCCGUGAGGCGAAGUGGCGCGGUGAGUGCCUCGUCCACCUACGCAAGAACUGCCAAAGAGGAGGUGAGCACGACCUGGAGCGGGUCGGCGGGGCGUCGGGGUGACGACCGCCGUGAACGGGGCCGCCGGAGUGGAAUCGACACAUCCGCGACAGGCCAGCCAAGCAGGCCUGCAUCGUGCGACCCGGGCACAUCGCCGCAGCGAGCGCCACCGCCCCCCACUACUUACACGAACACCGGCGCGCCGAGCUGUGCUGCGCUGCGCCGCCUCGUCAAGUCGCACCGCACGUUCAGAAAAAACUACGAGGCGCUACGGAAAAGCGACAAGGUCGCGGCCGCGUUUGAGCUUUGGUGCGCCGAGGCAGUGGCACACAGCCGUCUGGUGGAACAUCUGGCCUCAGCGUUGGGCGGCGAUAGCCAAGCGGUGACAACGGUCCGCCUCCUCCUCACAGGCGCCUCCAAAAAGGCCGCGGCUGCUGACUCAGGGGCGGCAGCGGCCACCUCCCCGACCAUGUCGGCAGCAGAGACGCUGGCAGUGCUGGAGGUGCCGCUUUCGGUGGUGGAUUGGCUCAACGAGCCCAUCGUCAUGCCGGACCUGGGCGCGAGGACACUCAUGGAAUUUGUGCACAAGGUGCUGUCCCCUUCGCACGGGGACAAGGCGCCAGCCAACGACUGUGAUGUCGCUGGUGCUGGAGAGUUAUUUGCGGCGUCCGCUGGCGACUCGCCGGCUGCACCGUAUUGGUAUGGGCGUCUCGAGGCGGUAGAGGUGUGGUACGACGCGUGGGGGCGCCAGCAGCACUAUCGCGAAUCGGCGGAAGGCCUGUUCAGCAGCAAUACUGAGCCGGCGGCGCCAUCUUUGAAGGCCUCCAUCGCGCUGUGGCACCGUAGGCAGCGUGCAGUGCAAGAUGUGCUGCUCUCUCACUUGACCGAAGGAGGUCGACCUUCCGUACUCGAUGCGCUGCCUGUCUGCCCAGCCGCUUGUGACAGUGCCGACACGCGCGACACAACUCCCGUCGAAUGUGGCCCUGUGACAGCUGCCAGCACCAGCGGCGCACCGGUUCAGCCUGACGGGAACGCUGCAGCGCGACCAGACCAAUUCGUUGAGGGGGCGACGCGGGAGCUGCUACCCUAUCUUAUCGAGUUUCUUCAGACGCUGAGCGCGUUCAAGGCUGCACGCGAGGAGGCGAAGAUGCACGCGGAGUACCAUGCACUACUGGAAAACGCGGUGGCGGUGCAGUCAGGGUCAGCUCAAGCAGCUGCCGACGCCGCCGCUCAGGGCACGUACACGCACCUGUGUCUUGUUGCGCGCCGCUUUCGCGCGUCGCUGCCGGUGGAGCUGCACCCGCCACCCGCAGCGUCUGAUAUCGCAGAUAAGCCCCUUGGCGGCGACGGCGGUGUGGAUGCGGAGCUGCGCACCGCGGCCCAGCAGUACCUUCGGUCGAUUUCGAAGGUGGACAAAGUGGCGUCUCAUUCCGCCCAGUCGUCGUCAAAGAUUGAGCGCUCGACGGGUGACGCGGGCACACACGAGACUACCGGAGCACAAUCGUCGUCGUUGGCGUUGGCUGAGCGAGCGGGUGCGGCGCCAUCCUACAGCGUUGCCGUGCUGGACAUCUGUAUCGGUGUUGUGCUGCGUUGCCUUCUCUUUUACCUUCCAGCGCUCUCUGCAAAGGACCGGGGCCAUGUGCUGCAGCAGCUCAGCGCCCCUUGGCUGACGCUCGAACCGGAGGAGAGCGCUCGAGUCGCGUGCUGGUCAGCGUUUUUCGGUGUUGCCGAUUUUCUCUCCAAAGCCUGUGCACUAAAGCGACGGGAGCGUAUCGGUGCGUUGCCAUCCGCCAUGGGGGGACUCAGCAACGGAGACUGUUCGACCUCCUCUGCUUCGUUCACCGUUGACCAUUCCACCCUUUCGACACUGCAAGGUGUGGUACAGCAGCUGCGCUCCUUGUGUUGGCCCACGGUGCUGGAUCGUCACUCGAGUAUCGUGCAGCACGCCCUCUGCCUCCUGCCAGCGGCAUCUGAAGCAUCGACGUCACCUUCUUCGGCGGCGGCAUCGGUGUCCGAUCAGCGGCGGCAGCAGCGGCGUCCUCCCACCGAGGCUCUGUCUGCUGGCAGUGCACGAGGCACGGCCUCAUCAUCAACAGUCGCCGCAGCUCCGCCGCACUCCACGCAGCCUCGUCCCCCUGCGUGGAGCGACGUCGUCGCGGUCGUGCGAGGCAGCGAGAGCCGACAGCGACUGGGCUACGAGCUACUCUUUCUCUUCUUGGGGGCUUUGCGAUGUGGGAAGGAGAACGCCUUCCCAGCGCCCGUCAAGGCAACUGCUGCUGCGGCUGCGGACGCUUCGGUUGAAAAGCCUGCCUGGCCCCACCACCGGCCCUCUGAUAGGCGCCGACUCAACACUGUCUGCAUCUACGCGCUUGACGUCGACAGCUUCAUUGCGGAGCGUAUGAGUGACUUGUGGCCGGCAGGCGAUGCGUGGCCGCUGCUGCGCACUCAGCCGUCCUGCUCGGCUGGAAGGGCGGUGGCACCGCCCGGCUCGCGCCCUGCGCCUGCGGAGCUACUCGCAGAGCAGACGGCGCACCCGUACGGCCUUUCUCGAGUAGCGCUGUGCACUUUCAGCGACUCCCUUCUGGAGAGCUGGUCGACCUUGUCGCUCCAACGCGCGCAGAUCCUCAUGGUAGCCCUGCAGCGGGCUGUGGCAGCUCCUGCUGCACUGACGUUGCGCUCGCUGCUCCCCAACCUACAUUCGAGCGCCCGCGCCGGCUGCGAGCUCAGCGGUACCCGCUCCUCUGCCACACCGCCACAUGCGGUGCAGCUGGCUGCGCGCCGUGCCGAGUGGCGAGCGGUGGCGCCAGUGAUGUUCCUGUACACCACGCGCGCGUGCCCGUCUUUGUGGAGAACGAUGUGGGCUUACAUCUCGUCGCAAAUGAAGUCCCUGCUGCGGCAGGUGGAGGAGAUGAUGAGGUCGGCACAGGCAAGCGCAGGCGAUGAGCAAGGCGGCGAUGUCGCGACGCGUGGAGAGCGGCGCUGGUCGAAUGAAGAGGUGGAGGCGUGCUACAAGCAACUGGAGGAGCUAGCGACCAUGUGCGCGUGGCUGGUUGCCAUGGUGCCGUCCGUCUGUGGCAAGUGGCUCGCUGUCGCUGGCGCUGCAACGUCAGAGCCUGCACAGGCGUCCGCACGAGAGCACACCGAGCGUGUGAAGGCUGGGUUUGAGCGCUGUGUCAAAGGCCUUCUCGCUGUGUGGACGAAGACAGGCGCGAGCGCUGAUGCGGCGGAGCAGCUGCUGACUUUGUUUUCCAGGCACCCCAGUUCCACGCCGACGCCCGUGGACUUCACCCCUGUGAGGGCGGCCAACAACGGUGCCGUCGACGACACCGCGCAGGGUGCAAAGGCGCCGCUGUCGGCGCAGGAGGAGACAGGAACAGGUGAGGCGGUGACACUACUCGCGGAGCUGGCAGCGGCGGCUCAGACGCAUGUGUGGACCCGCGCGCUGUACGGCGCUGUCGAAUUGUGGAUCAAGAAGACCCGCUACAUCCAAGCGCAGUCGCGAGGAAUCAUGGAGACAGUUCAGCUGAUGCCACCGGCGGAGGCAUCUACCUCUGCGCUAGCCGCGAUGACGGCAGCAGCGCCCGGUCGCGCUGCAGAUGAUCGUUCCCGCGCAGGUGAGACAGUGACCAACGGCGGCAGCUGUGCAUCUGUGCCGACGGCGCCGCACGACGUGGAUUUGGCGCUGCUUGCCUGGUGGCGCUCCACGGCGGAGGAGGACAUCGGCCUACCAUCGGCGCGCGUCUACCUCGCGCAGGUGUACACUGAGCUUCUGCGGAUUGUUUCUGCUCGCGCUGUUCUCGCACCGUCGACCCCUCUACCAGAAAGGGCACACGUGGGGCACCCGCUCGAUUCUGAGCGAGAUUCAGUGUUGGGGGGCGCAAGCAAUCGCGCCGGCGCAGUGGACAGCGGCGACGAGCCAACGUCGACCUUGAGGGGCGACACACCACUCAGCGGCGCAGCGGAAAAGACCAUUUUCUCUGCAGCGGAGGUGGUCGUCAUUCUGAGGGUGCUAAGUAGCAUUGCGGCACGCGGCGUCGCAACGGUGACCUUGGGUCGCCUCACGGAGCGCGCGUCUGGGCGCGGUGUGCUCGGCAAGACGUCUUCUGCCGGCCCCGCAGAGAACGCUGUGGGCGUAGAGUCCACCUCUGGCAACGCUGACUCCAUCAUCGACUCGCUACGCCGCGCCGCCGUGUACGCCACCGUGGCGGACAAAGAGGUACCGUCGACCACAACGCCGGAUUCGACGGCGUCAAAGGACGCGGGCGCUCGCGGCCUCUCAACGGCAACCGACGGCGAUGAAAGCGGCAACCCUACCAGAGUCGGUGUUGCGGAGGAGGCCACAGCGCACGAUCGAGGCAAUGCUGCUGCCCUCUCUGCCCAGAUGGCGGUUCAGCGCAUUGAGGAGGCGCUGCUGAGCAGCUUGACAGCACACAGCGGAGCGUUGCCGGCGACAACGAUGGUGGAGGCGACGUGGCUUCGACUGCUUCCCCUGUCGACGCUGCAGAAACUCCUUGAUCAUCGAGAGUCCUCUGCGGCCGUCUCAGCUGGACCAGACGCCCCGCCGCCAGGUCUGUCAUCCAACGCACCGCCGUGCAAGGCUGCAAAUAGCGGGUCAUCGAAUGCGCAACCAACAGCGUGCGCCGACCUCGCCACCACAGCAGCAACGCCGUCGCCUCCGCGUUUUGCCCCUGCCGCCGUCGUCGCAUCCGGCUCUGCUCCACAGCUCGACGGGUCACUGCGGGAGUCGCCGUCGCCGUGGGUGCGCAAGUUGCAUGACGCGGUCCUCACGAGCUGCCACUCGCGCCACAUUGGCAUCUGCCUUGUCUCUUCGCUGUACUCCGUCCUGGCAGCGUCGCAGAAGCGCGACGACUCUACACAGCCUCUCUCAGCGUCGACUAGUUGUGACGGCAGUCGUGGCGCGGUCAGCGCCGCCACUGUGUCUUGUGGCGGUACUUCAGAGACCGCUUCGUCUUGCGCUGAGGACUGCGAUGUGGCCAGGGACGGGCCGUCGCUCGCCACGUCGCGGCUCCGCUGUUUUUUGGCACGACUACGCACGAGCUGCGCCGAGGCCGUUGUGCUUUUCCAUCGUGCUAGAAGGCAGCACGCUGAUCUCACCGCCGCAUCCGGCGAGGGCGACGCCAGUAGCAGUGGUGGCGCAGACGCGGACGAUGCAAACGCAUCCCGCGUAGGCUUGAAAGCAUCAGCAUGGGCCGCUGCUGCAGAGGUCGACGGUGAUAGUAAGGGUGAGGCCGAGGCGGGUACAUUGCACGCGGCCACGCCGCACCAGCAGCAUGGGCAGCGCUUCUGCAACGUGCUGGUGGUGACCAGCGAGCUUCACGAGCGCCUUACAGCCUACGCAGAAACGCUCGCUUGCGCAGCAGCGAGGUGCAGUGGGGCAGAGCAGGGUGCUGACCAGGAUACGUUGCGUACUUCCCGCAACGGCAAGCCUGAGAGAAUGCGCCACCUGCUCCGACUCUUGUACGCAUCGCUGCUGGAUGCGGUGGCCGAUUUUGUGCCGUACGCAGAGCACGGGAAUGCUGUGGAGGUGAUGCAGAUGCUAGGCGUCAUCACUCGCCGCAUGCCAUGGCAGCAGUGCGCGCAAGCGUCGCUGGCGCAGGCGCUGCCUCUCGAGAAGGACGGGCAGUUUGGCGACCAUACCAGCGACGAAACAAGCUGUGAAGCAGUGCCACUGGCGAAGCGCGGGGGCGGCGUUGCGGAGGCCGGUGCUGCUGCUCGGCCGAGCGCGCCCCGCGACGGCGACGAAGAAGGCGUCUCGAUCGAUCCCCUCCUUGUGUGCUUUCGGGAGCAGGUGACGCGGCUGAUGCCGUACGUGGAUGCUGAAGUGCUUCGCUGCACGAAAGCUCGGUUGCCCCAGCUUCUGAACCUGGCGCUGAUCGGCAGCGCAAAAUCGUCUGUCGAGUACGUCUUGCGCAGCGUUCCAGUCAGCACCAGAGGGUCACUGCAGCGUCGAGAGGGGCCCUGCGCCGCCGCCGCGGAGGCGACGCGUUCCAGAAGCACCCUUGCUCUGUCACCCGUGUCCCGUUCGGCAGCGAAGGUGAGCGCGUCUGAGAGUGCCAGCCAUGGUGCCACUACCGAAGCAGAGCCAGGCCGUCUGGGACUCUCUACGCUGCCCCUCUGGUCUCAGGCCCCACUCGAGUCUCUUCUACACCGUAUAGCCAUGGACCGGCUGAUGGCAUCGCGACACGCGCUGUACUUGUGCACUCUGACCGUCAAUGCGCCGGAGUUUUCAGCUGUGCUUCUGCCUCUCACGCAAUACCUGCGCGACGCGCGCGCGAGGAUUUCGUGGGCGAUGCUAGAGGUGGUGUUCAAGGCCGUUGCCGUGUCUGCCGUGAACUUCCAGCGGCACCAUCAAGCAGAAAUGCUGCUGCGUAGUGAUCUUCUGCCCUUGUCGCCGUCAUUGUCACCCGGGUCCGAUCAGACGCCAGGCAGCGCCGCUCAUUCUCCCGCAGAUCGUGCGAGCGCCGCCUCCGCGGCGGAGCGACCCCGACGAGGUGGGGGCGGCGGCGAUGCGUCGCAGCGCGGCGGAAUCGCGCUGCCGCGGUCGUCGACCGAUUGCGCGGCGCUGCGCGUGGGGGAGAUGAGAUACCCACACCGUAACGGCAGUGGGGCUUCGGCGCCUCUCUUCCGCACAGCUGCCGUACCGUCCGCCGUGUGUAAUGCGCCGUCGCAGCUGCGGCACGCCUGGGGCGAUCUUGCUCGCCGCCUCCUCCACGAAGAGGAUGAUGUAGCCGUGUCCGACGUCUCACUCUGGGUGUCGGCGCUGUACUGCGGCGCUAUGGUGAACUGCGCAGGGACUCAGUUGUUUGAACAGCUGCUGGCGUGCCUCGUCUUCGGCACCACGACCCCCGCAGCCUCGGCGGCAACCACCACAACGCGGAUCGCCACGCUGGACGUUGUGGGUUGGACGCUGGUGCUGGAGGCGUGCGGCACGGCUUCAGACCACCACUACCGACAGGCAUAUCAGAGUCUUUUGAGGGACGAGUUCGUUCCCUUCCUGGAGCGCGCCGCGGCCUCUGCCGACAGUGAUGAGGGUGGCGUCUCAGCAUCUUCUGCUUCAUCUGCCUCGUAUCCGACAUGGCCGCCUACUGCGGCAGUGGCGUCGGGGCGGGCGGUGCUGGACGACGCGCUUCCCCUCGCAGGGGCCUGGCGCUGCGGCUUGUUGGAAGCCAUUCCACAGCUGUUUGUCGAGGACGCCGCGUUUUGGCGUCGCGUGAAGAACUGCGUGGAGACGUGGUGCGCCGCGAUUGCUCGCGACCCUGCUGAGGUUGCCAGUGAGUCCCCAUCUGCGCCAAGGACGUCCACGUCGGCGGCGCGGCGGUCUUGGGUGACGCAGCUACAGCAGAGCUUCAACUGGGCAGCGCAGUGUGCCGGCCACUCGUCUCUUGUGUUCAGCGAUAAUACAUGGACGACGGAGACGGCAAACGCAGAUGCGCACGCUGUGGCGGAGUGGAUGCGGAUACAGCUGGAAGCUCUGGGGGCGAGCGCAGCCUCAGUGACAACCACACCGGAGGCGCCGCCGAACGUCUCCCCACCGCGCGGGGGGCAAACCGCAUCUCUCCGCGGGUAGCACACCCAUGACCGUAGACAGCUGUCUUGUCCGCCAGGGAGAUGCAACUUCAACCACUCCAUCCUCCGCGAUCGAGUACUGUCACACCGCAAGAUGACCAUCUCACGUCGCGGGUGGAUUGAAGAGGAGACGAGACGGAGUCGGUAGGACAGCCAAGUUUCUGUGUAUUACCUCCGCCGCUCUUCUCACCUGUGGCAUCGCUUGCUUGCCGGUCUGUAGUGGAUGAUGCAGUGACCAAGAAGACAGACUUGUCUACGGGAGAGGAGGGAGGUAAGAUAUGUACGUGAGGAGCAGAGGAAGAGUAGACAAUACGCUGAUAAAGCGAAUGGCUCUCAAAACCUUCCCACCACACACACACACACACACACACACACACUGACACCUACAUGCGCACGCUUGUGUACACUAAGAAGCGUGCUUGCAGUGGCAUGUGUGCUUCUGUGCGUCUGUA